rnacentral:rRNA from 1 species
CAAGUAAUUAAGUGCAUGUGGUGGAUGCCUUGGCAGUCAGAGGCGAUGAAAGACGUGAUAGCCUGCGAAAAGCUCCGGGGAGGCGGCAAAUAUCCUUUGAUCCGGAGAUGUCUGAAUGGGGGAACCCACCUACUUUAAGGUAGGUAUUGCAACAUGAAUACAUAGUGUUGCAAGGCGAACGAGGGGAAGUGAAACAUCUCAGUACCCUUAGGAAAAGAAAUCAAUUGAGAUUCCCUCAGUAGCGGCGAGCGAACGGGGAUCAGCCCAUUAAGUUAUGUGUGUUUUAGUGGAACGCUCUGGGAAGUGCGAACGUAGAGGGUGAUAUUCCCGUACACGAAAGGGCACACAUAAUGAUGACGAGUAGGGCGAGGCACGUGAAACCUUGUCUGAAUAUGGGGGGACCAUCCUCCAAGGCUAAAUACUCCUGACUGACCGAUAGUGAACCAGUACCGUGAGGGAAAGGCGAAAAGAACCCCUGUGAGGGGAGUGAAAUAGAUCCUGAAACCGCAUGCAUACAAGCAGUGGGAGCACCUUCGUGGUGUGACUGCGUACCUUUUGUAUAAUGGGUCAGCGACUUAUAUUCAGUAGCGAGGUUAACCGUAUAGGGGAGCCGUAGAGAAAUCGAGUCUUAAUAGGGCGUUUAGUUGCUGGGUAUAGACCCGAAACCAGGCGAUCUAUCCAUGAGCAGGUUGAAGGUUGGGUAACACUAACUGGAGGACCGAACCCACUGUCGUUGAAAAGCCAGGGGAUGACUUGUGGAUAGGGGUGAAAGGCUAAUCAAGCCUGGUGAUAGCUGGUUCUCCCCGAAAGCUAUUUAGGUAGCGCCUCGGACGAAUACCAUAGGGGGUAGAGCACUGUUUCGGCUAGGGGGUCAUCCCGACUUACCAAACCGAUGCAAACUCCGAAUACCUAUGAGUACUAUCCGGGAGACAGACUGCGGGUGCUAACGUCCGUAGUCAAGAGGAAAACAAUCCAGACCGCCAGCUAAGGCCCCAAAAUCAUAGUUAAGUGGGAAACGAUGUGGGAAGGCAUAGACAGCUAGGAGGUUGGCUUAGAAGCAGCCACCCUUUAAAGAAAGCGUAAUAGCUCACUAGUCGAGUCGGCCUGCGCGGAAGAUGUAACGGGGCUAAAACUAUGUGCCGAAGCUGCGGAUGUAUACUUUGUAUACGUGGUAGGGGAGCGUUCUGUAAGCCGAUGAAGGUGUGUUGAGAAGCAUGCUGGAGGUAUCAGAAGUGCGAAUGCUGACGUGAGUAACGACAAAACGGGUGAAAAACCCGUUCGCCGAAAGACCAAGGGUUCCAGUCCAACGUUAAUCGGGGCUGGGUGAGUCGACCCCUAAGGCGAGGCCGAAAGGCGUAGUCGAUGGGAAAAUGGUUAAUAUUCCAUUACUUCUGUGUAAUGCGAUGAGAGGACGGAGAAGGCUAAAUCAGCCUGGCGUUGGUUGUCCAGGUGAAAGGAUGUAGGCAUGUAUCUUAGGCAAAUCCGGGGUACUCUAUGCUGAGAUCUGAUAGCAAGCUGUACUUGUACAGCGAAGUGGUUGAUGCCAUGCUUCCAGGAAAAGUCUCUAAGCUUCAGUUACACAGGAAUCGUACCCGAAACCGACACAGGUGGUCAGGUCGAGUAGACCAAGGCGCUUGAGAGAACUCUGCUGAAGGAACUAGGCAAAAUGGUACCGUAACUUCGGGAGAAGGUACGCUGUUGUUGGUGAUGGAACUCGCUUCCUGAGCUGACGACAGCCGCAGAAACCAGGCCGCUGCAACUGUUUAUUAAAAACAUAGCACUCUGCAAACACGAAAGUGGACGUAUAGGGUGUGAUGCCUGCCCGGUGCUGGAAGGUUAAUUGAUGGGGUUAGCGUAAGCGAAGCUCUUGAUCGAAGCCCCAGUAAACGGCGGCCGUAACUAUAACGGUCCUAAGGUAGCGAAAUUCCUUGUCGGGUAAGUUCCGACCUGCACGAAUGGCAUAAUGAUGGCGGCGCUGUCUCCAGCAGAGGCUCAGUGAAAUCGAAAUCGCUGUGAAGAUGCAGUGUACCCGCGGCUAGACGGAAAGACCCCGUGAACCUUUACUGCAGCUUGACACUGAACUUUGACCUUACUUGUGUAGGAUAGGUGGGAGGCUUUGAAGCUGGAACGCUAGUUCCAGUGGAGCCGUCCUUGAAAUACCACCCUGGUAAUGUUGAGGUUCUAACUCUGUCCCGUGAUCCGGGACGAGGACCGUGUCUGGUGGGUAGUUUGACUGGGGCGGUCUCCUCCUAAAGAGUAACGGAGGAGUACGAAGGUGCGCUCAGCGUGGUCGGAAAUCACGCGUAGAGUAUAAAGGCAAAAGCGCGCUUAACUGCGAGACCCACAAGUCGAGCAGGUACGAAAGUAGGUCUUAGUGAUCCGGUGGUUCUGUAUGGAAGGGCCAUCGCUCAACGGAUAAAAGGUACUCUGGGGAUAACAGGCUGAUACCGCCCAAGAGUUCAUAUCGACGGCGGUGUUUGGCACCUCGAUGUCGGCUCAUCUCAUCCUGGGGCUGAAGCAGGUCCCAAGGGUAUGGCUGUUCGCCAUUUAAAGAGGUACGCGAGCUGGGUUUAGAACGUCGUGAGACAGUUCGGUCCCUAUCUACCGUGGGCGCUGGAAAUUUGAGAGGAUCUGCUCCUAGUACGAGAGGACCAGAGUGGACGAACCUCUGGUGUACCGGUUGUGACGCCAGUCGCAUCGCCGGGUAGCUAUGUUCGGAAGGGAUAACCGCUGAAAGCAUCUAAGCGGGAAGCCUACCUCAAGAUAAGAUUUCCCUAGGACUUUAUGUCCUCUAAAGAGCCGUUCGAGACUAGGACGUUGAUAGGUUGGAUGUGGAAGCAUAGUGAUAUGUGAAGCUGACCAAUACUAAU